AUUGAACGCUGGCGGCAGGCUUAACACACGCAAGUCGAGCGGGGUGAUGGUGCUUGCACUAUCACUUAGCGGCGGACGGGUGAGUAAUGCUUAGGAAUCUGCCUAUUAGUGGGGGACAACAUCUCGAAAGGGAUGCUAAUACCGCAUACGUCCUACGGGAGAAAGCAGGGGAUCACUUGUGACCUUGCGCUAAUAGAUGAGCCUAAGUCGGAUUAGCUAGUUGGUGGGGUAAAGGCCUACCAAGGCGACGAUCGGUAGCGGGUCUGAGAGGAUGAUCCGCCACACUGGGACUGAGACACGGCCCAGACUCCUACGGGAGGCAGCAGUGGGGAAUAUUGGACAAUGGGGGGAACCCUGAUCCAGCCAUGCCGCGUGUGUGAAGAAGGCCUUAUGGUUGUAAAGCACUUUAAGCGAGGAGGAGGCUCUUUUGGUUAAUACCCAAGAUGAGUGGACGUUACUCGCAGAAUAAGCACCGGCUAACUCUGUGCCAGCCGCCGCGGUAA
rnacentral:rRNA from 1 species